rnacentral:rRNA from 1 species
GACGAACGCUGGGCGGCGGUGGAUUAGGCAUGCAAGUCGGACGGUAGGGCUUUAUCGUAAGAUAGAGUUUGAGAGUGGCGAACGGGUGAGUAACACGUAGGAAUCUACCCUUAAGACGGGACAACCCAGGGAAACUUGGGCUAAUACCGGAUGAGAGUGCGAGAGAUUGCAUUUAAAAGGAUGGCGAAAGUUGUCGCUUAGGGAUGAGCCUGCGGUCUAUUAGUUAGUUGGUGAGGUAAGAGCUCACCAAGGCGAUGAUAGAUAGGCGGCCUUAACGGGUGGUCGCCCACACUGGGAUUGAGAUACGGCCCAGACUCCUACGGGAGGCAGCAGUCGAGAAUAGUCUACAAUGGUCGGAAGACUGAUAGUGCGACGCCGCGUGAACGAUGAAUCCCUUCGGGGUGUAAAGUUCUUUUAUAUGUGAGCAGUGCUUCUUAUAUUAACAGUAUGGGGAGAGAGAUAUUAGCAUAUGAAUAAGCAACGGCUAACUCCGUG